rnacentral:tRNA from 1 species
GACCGCGUAGCUCAGUUAGCAGAGCAUUGGGCUAGUAUUCCAAAGGUCGUAGGUUCGAUUCCCACCGUGGACA